rnacentral:rRNA from 1 species
AUUGAACGCUGGCGGCAGGCCUAACACAUGCAAGUCGAACGGUAACAGGAAGCAGCUUGCUGCUUCGCUGACGAGUGGCGGACGGGUGAGUAAUGUCUGGGAAGCUGCCUGAUGGAGGGGGAUAACUACUGGAAACGGUAGCUAAUACCGCAUAAUGUCGCAAGACCAAAGAGGGGGACCUUCGGGCCUCUUGCCAUCGGAUGUGCCCAGAUGGGAUUAGCUUGUUGGUGGGGUAACGGCUCACCAAGGCGACGAUCCCUAGCUGGUCUGAGAGGAUGACCAGCCACACUGGAACUGAGACACGGUCCAGACUCCUACGGGAGGCAGCAGUGGGGAAUAUUGCACAAUGGGCGCAAGCCUGAUGCAGCCAUGCCGCGUGUAUGAAGAAGGCCUUCGGGUUGUAAAGUACUUUCAGCGGGGAGAAGGGGAGUAAAGUUAAUACCUUGGCUCAUUGACGUUACCCGCAGAAGAAGCACCGGCUAACUCCGUG